GGGGGUGUAGCUCAAUUGGUUAGAGCGCUGGCCUGUCACGCCAGAGGUCGCGAGUUCGAGUCUCGUCACUCCCGCCA
rnacentral:tRNA from 3 species